UUUUUUUUUAGAUAUGUUAGUACGUAUUGAUAAGCUGAAAAAAAUCUGCUAUCUUUAUUUAUCUAUUGUAAGAUAAAUUAGAUUUGAAGAUGACGUACUUUGGUCAAGCGAACUGGUAUCGCGCUGAAAGACAUUACAUUAUCGAUACAUGUAAUCAAAACGGAUAAAAUUGUGCUCGAAGAGUUUAAAAUUUAAUAUUGUAUGUUAGCACGAUAUGUGAACCAGCCGAUCCGGUUUAUUGAUGGAUUACCAAGAAGGUAAUUAAAUAUGUCAAGAAGAAAUGAUUAAUUCCUCAAAAUAAAAGUUCCCUCGAAUUUUUCAGAUGAGGUUGUUGCUUGCAUGGGACGUCGGUCAGUGAUUCAUGGACACGAAUCAAUGCGCCGAAGCAUUUUCUAUUUCAAGUUCAAACCUAGAAGGUCGCGAUUAAUAAAUAGCGUGUAUAAAAAAUAUUAUUUAUUAAAAACACAAUCCAGUAUGAAUUUAUACGAUUCAUCAACCAUCAAUGUAGGUAUAUCUCAAUAUUUUAUACAAUACAUAAUCCAGUUUUAUACUUUGAUAGCACUGACGUUAUCCUGCAGCGUUUAAUCCAGCGAAUUAAGAAGACUAGUGAAGAUAAUUUAUGAAGAAUAUCAUCUUUGAUGAUGCCGAAGGUCAAAGAAAAAAUUUAACUGCGCGAAGAAUAAAAGUCAAGUAACAAUAAGAAUUAUAUUGCAAGAUCGUAUUUCAUAGAGAUUGCAAUAAAACUUUAGUGUACAGCAAAGGAACAUUCAUGUUAAAAGAUUAGUGUCAUUUCAUUAAACGCGCUGCUCUAAUUAGCCCAGCGUUGUUGCUCUGACGUUUUACAUCUGACACUAAAUUACGUGCUAAUUGUCCUCGUGUCGCUGAGAACGAUCAUUGAGAAAAAAUAUAUUAUUGUCGAGGAAGCGUAUAUAAUUUAUCUUCCACAUAAAGUAAUUAAAGAAACAAAAUAUCAUCAUAAUAAACUCGAGAAAUUUUUUUGUAUAUUUGCUGACCUUCUGAGUCUUCUUACAUAACAACUAUGCUUAAAUAUCAACCGCAACAAUAUAAAUUAUAAUUGUACAAUCAAUCAUCUAUAAUAUCGGAAAUUUGAUUUCCUUUUUCAGUGAUAAAUAUUUUACUGUAAAAUAUUUAAUCUGAAACGGCGAAAUAAUUUUUUUUAUUUAAUUGUAUUCUUCUUUAAUUCCACAUUAUUAUUUUUAAUUAUUAAAAUAAUAAUUUUGAACACUUUUUAGCGUCUUUACCCUUGAUCGCCAUAUUGUUAAUGCAAUCAAGAAGAAUUAGUCUGUUGCCAACAGUUCGAGGACUUAAAAUUACGUCCAUUUAAUUAUUCUUAACAAAUUGUUUUUUUUUUUUAUCAAUACAUUUUUGUUAAUUUAUCAGAGUAUAUUCUUCACACGGCAUUUAAUUAUCCAUAAUUAUAAUUAAAGACUUAUGAAUGAAAUAAUCGUGUUCCAUUUUAAAUUAAUGAUUUUCUAUUCAUAAACACACACUAAAAAAAUAGAUAAUUAUUUUUUAAAAACCUAUUUACUAGGCAAUUAGCUUAUGUAGCGUUUAAAAAAAAUUAUCAUACGUUGUAUAGCGUAAAAUGAACGUAUGACAAGAAUUGCGAUGUAGAAUAAACAUGAAGUAAUUAUGAGUGUCAUUACACCUCGAUCCUUGAACUUUUUCACAACAAAGUAGAGUUUUUAUAUAGAUUUAAAUAGCGACUUACCGGUUGCGCAAUAUCUUCCCAUUUUUCACCCAAAUAGUCCCACUUUUCUUCAGCCAUAACAAAUUAUCCUCGGCAAAUAUGAAAUAUUCCAAAA
rnacentral:lncRNA from 1 species